GUCUUCCUGAUUUGUUUAGGAGGUCUAACCUGCCCGGUGAAAUUUUUAACGGCCGCGGUAUUUUGACCGUGCAAAGGUAGCAUAAUCAUUAGUCUUUUAAUAGGGGGCUGGAAUGAAAGGUUUGACGAAGUGUUAACUGUCUCAUGUUUAAUAAUUAUAAUUUAACUUUUUAGUUAAAAGGCUUAAAUAUUGUUGGAAGACGAGAAGACCCUAUAGAGCUUUAAUUUUGAACGCAUAAUAGAUGUGUUGUUAAUUAUUAAUUUUUAUGUGUUUAAUUUUUUUGUUGGGGUGACAAAAGAUAUAUGAAAAACUUUUAUAUUUAUAUUACAUUUAUUUAUGUUUAAUAGAUCCAUUAUUAUUGAUUAUUAGAAUAAGUUACCUUAGGGAUAACAGCGUAAUCUUCUUUCGGAGUUCACAUUUACAAGAAGGCUUGCGACCUCGAUGUUGGAUUAAGAUAAUAGUUUGGGGCAGUUUCUUAACUAAUAGGUCUGUUCGACCUUUAAAUUCUUACAUGAUCUGAGUUCAGACCGG
rnacentral:rRNA from 1 species